UUAAGUGGACUUUUAAAAAUGCACUUUUUAAUACUGUCUAAUUAAGCUUAACUUAUAGUAAGUACACUUUCAUCACAAUAUUUCUUAACAUACCUAAUUACACUUUUUAAAAAUGCACUUUGUCUAAUUUAGUUUUACUUAAAUGUAACCCUGGUUAAAUAAUUAAAUAUUAUUAUUUUAAAAGUGUGCUUAAAUAUAAUAGAGACUAUUCAUACAUCUACAUUUAUUUUAUAAAUGAGGAAAUACAUGUGAAUAAUUCAAUCUGAAUUAUAAAUCUGAAAUGAGUAAACCAAUCAGAGUGUUUAAUUGUAAGCUCCGCCCCUUUUUUGCUUUUGGAUCGCGUCUCAGUUCAGAGGAGAGAUGCAGAGCGACAGAGACACUCGAUCUGACGCGAGAGUGUUUAAUUUGAUUAAAUAUGACUCCUAAGUUCAUAUAAACUGAAGAAAUCAGAAUUUAACUUGCAUAUAUUCAAUGAUACAGCGUGAUUGUGUGGAUUGAGCACUUUUUGAGCUUUCAUUUUGUACCUGUGGAUUAUGUAAAACCACAUGGUGCGUUGUGUUCACUGCUGUUCGCUGACGCCAUUUUGGUUGCACGUGCCUGUGAAAGACAAAAAGAGAAGGAAACACGUGAAUGGACAGGCCAGGUUUUUUUCCUUUCGUAUGAACAUUCCUUGAGCUGGAUUUUCCUAAUUGAUGGCGAGCUUCCCAUUUCGACUUGAUUGGAUCACGAAUCUAGAGGAAAGGACAAUUUUCUAUUUUAAAUAUUUUUCUUCAGACAAGUAAGAGGAUACAUUUCAGAAACUGUUUCCUUAUUUUGUUUGUUUACUUUAUUGAACUGAAACAUUUCAGAAGCACAAUUCUGAUAAUUUAAGACUGAUCAAUACUCCAAUUGAUAAGAACUUUGAACUUGAAUACUGAUUUCAGUGUGUUACAUAUAUAAUUUGUACCAUCUUUGUACAUUGAUUGUGACUGUGAUUUCUGUAAAUGAGAAGUAAUUUAGAGGGUGCACCCAUAGUAUAUAUAGUUAAUUGUAUUUUCAUUGUUGUUACUAUUUUUGUGAUUAAGGAAAGAAAAAGAAAGGUUUCUCAAUACUCAAAGUAAAAUAAUUUAUUAAUCAACUUACCUUCUGUCUCUGCUUGUUGCUCACUAUCACUGCUACCACCUCCUUCGUACCGUGCACCCUUCUGAUCUUAUUAUUAUGCCUGGUCCAUAAGUAAGUGAGUUAAUACCCGCUACAUAAAGAAAGUACACUUUCAUGGCAAUAUUUCUAAACACAUUUAAUAAAUGAUCAUUAGACUGAUGUGACCUACCAAAGACUUGUUAAUUUAAAGUUCAUGCAGUUCUUUUUUAGUUGUCUGUUAAAAUGUAAAAAAAUUAUAACUUUGAGUUUAUUUUUUUCUAAGGGAUGUAAUUAUUCAAUAUUGAUAGUUGUUUGUUUGAUUCCAAUUUAACAAUAUUAAAAUGAGUUUUUUUUUUGUUUGGACAUAUACAACUCAUAAUUAAUUUAUUAAAUGUACUUUUGCAAAACAAAAAAUCUGAUUCAUAAUUUGACUACCAAACUGUUUUAUUGUCAGUGUAAGCAUUGUGGUUUUUGUUUGUUUGCAAUGCAUUAAACUGAAAUGAAUACAUAUUUAAUUAACUAGAUUUGUUUUUCAGUAUUUUGAGAAGUACAUAAAUAUAUUUCACAUACAAUAGAAGUAGUUAAAGUACAUACUGUAGAAAGAUGCAUUGAAAUCACUUCACUGCACUGAAAUCACAGUUCAACUGAUUUAAUUUUAUAUAUUUGAAUUUAUUUGGCAAACUUGUAUUUGAAACAUAACAUUUAAUGAGUAAUUAAAUGUACUGUUAAUAUACAUUAACUUAUUUUUAAUUUCACAUUAAUUGCUUGACAGUAGAUUGAACAGUGCACUUUAAGUAUAUUCUAAAAACACUAGAAGCAAUUAUGAAAGUAGAUAUAAAGUUGUAAUAAAGUACCAAUUAAGUUGUUCCAAAAAAAUCACUCUUAAUGGCAACUUAUUACAUUUUAUUUCAACUUAAUAUAUGAUAUAUGUGAAAUUAAUUACACUUAAUGUGCAUUUAGUGCGCCGAAAAGAUUGCAUUUAAUUCACACUUAAGAGUAUUGUUAACAGACAUUAAAUUGCAUUUUAAAUCACAUUAAUUUCAUGUCUUUAUAUUGUGUAGUGCACUUUAAGUAUAUUUUAAAAACACUAGAAGCAAUUAUGAAAGUAGGUAUAAAGUUGUAAUAAAGUACCAAUUAAGUUGUUCCAAAAAAUCACUCUUAAUGGCAACUUAUUACAUUUUAUUUCAACUUAAUAUAUGAUAUAUGUGAAAUUAAUUACACUUAAUGUGCAUUUAGUGCGCCGAAAAGAUUGCAUUUAAUUCACACUUAAGAGUAUUGUUAACAGACAUUAAAUUGCAUUUUAAAUCACAUUAAUUUCAUGUCUUUAUAUUGUGUAGUGCACUUUAAGUAUAUUUUAAAAACACUAGAAGCAAUUAUGAAAGUAGGUAUAAAGUUGUAAUAAAGUACCAAUUAAGUUGUUCCAAAAAAUCACUCUUAAUGGCAACUUAUUACAUUUUAUUUCAACUUAAUAUAUGAUAUAUGUGAAAUUAAUUACACUUAAUGUGCAUUCAGUGCGCCGAAAAGAUUGCAUUUAAUUCACACUUAAGUGUAUAUACUUAAAGUGUAUUAUUUAUGUAAUAAGUACACUUUAUAAAAGUACACUUAAGCACACUUUUUUUUC